rnacentral:rRNA from 1 species
UACGGGGGGGGCAAGCGUUGUUCGGAAUUACUGGGCGUAAAGGGCUCGUAGGUGGCCAACUAAGUCGGACGUGAAAUCCCUCAGCUUAACUGGGGAACUGCGUCCGAUACUGGAUGGCUUGAGUUUGGGAGAGGGAUGCGGAAUUCCAGGUGUAGCGGUGAAAUGCGUAGAUAUCUGGAGGAGCACCGGUGGCGAAGGCGGCAUCCUGGACCAACACUGACACUGAGGAGCGAAAGCCAGGGGAGCGAACAGG